rnacentral:rRNA from 1 species
AACGAACGCUGGCGGCAUGCCUAACACAUGCAAGUCGAACGAAACCUUCGGGUCUAGUGGCGCACGGGUGCGUAACGCGUGGGAACCUGCCCUUAGGUUCGGAAUAACUCCCCGAAGGGGGUGCUAAUACCGGAUAAUGUCUUCGGACCAAAGAUUUAUCGCCUUUGGAUGGGCCCGCGUUGGAUUAGCUAGUUGGUAGGGUAAAAGCCUACCAAGGCGACGAUCAAUAGCUGGUCUGAGAGGAUGAUCAGCCACACUGGGACUGAGACACGGCCCAGACUCCUACGGGAGGCAGCAGUGGGGAAUAUUGGACAAUGGGCGAAAGCCUGAUCCAGCAAUGCCGCGUGAGUGAUGAAGGCCUUAGGGUUGUAAAGCUCUUUUACCCGGGAUGAUAAUGACAGUACCGGGAGAAUAAGCCCCGGCUAACUCCGUG